rnacentral:rRNA from 1 species
UCGCCCUUAGAGUUGAUCCUGGCUCAGGAUGAUGCUAGCGGCGCGCUUAACGCAUGCAAGUCGAGCGAUGAGGCUCCCUUCGGGGAGUACAUCAGCGGCAGACGGGUGAGUAACACGUAGGUAACCUGCCCUCAAGACGGGGAUAACGCCUGGAAACGGGCGCUAAUACCGGAUGACCUUAGUUGGGGAAGAUCCGAUUAAGGAAAGGCUAUGGCGCUUGAGGAGGGGCCUGCGGCCCAUCAGUUAGUUGGUAGGGUAACGGCCUACCAAGGCGAAGACGGGUAGGGGGUGUGAAAGCACGGGCCCCCACACUGGGACUGAGACACGGCCCAGACUCCUACGGGAGGCAGCAGCGGGGAGUAUUGCGCAAUGGACGGAAGUCAGACGCAGCGACGCCGCGUGGGUGAAGAAGGCCUUCGGGUUGUAAAGCCCUUUUCUGAGGGAAGAGAAAGGACGGUACCUUAGGAAUAAGCGUCGGCUAACUACGUGCCAGCAGCCGCGGUAAGACGUAGGACGCGAGCGUUAUCCGGAUUUACUGGGCGUAAAGCGUGUGUAGGCGGCGUGACAAGUUGGGCGUGAAAGCCCCGUGCUCAACGCGGGGAGGCCGCACAAUACUGUCAGGCUAGAGGGCACCAGAGGGGUGUGGAAUUCCCAGAGUAGCGGUAAAAUGCGCAGAUAUCGGGAGGAACACCGGUGGCGAAAGCGGCACCCUGGGGUGCGCCUGACGCUGAGAGACGACAGCUAGGGGAGCGAACAGGAUUAGAGACCCUGGUAGUCCUAGCCGUAAACGAUGGAUGCUAGGUGUAGGAGUGAAGAGCUUCUGUGCCGCAGCGAACGCGAUAAGCAACCCGCCUGGGGAGUACGGCCGCAAGGCUUAAACUCAAACGAAUUGACGGGGACCGCACAAGCAGCGGAGCGUGUGGUUU